UACGGAGGGUGCGAGCGUUGUCCGGAAUCACUGGGCGUAAAGGGCGCGUAGGCGGCCUGGCAAGUCGAUGGUGAAAGCCCGAGGCUCAACUUCGGGUCGGCCACUGAUACUGCUGGGCUUGAGUCGACUAGAGGCAGAUGGAAUUCCGGGUGUAGCGGUGGAAUGCGUAGAGAUCCGGAAGAACACCGGGUGGCGAAGGCGGUCUGCUGGGGUCGAACU
rnacentral:rRNA from 1 species